rnacentral:rRNA from 1 species
CGUUGAUUACGUCCCUGCCCUUUGUACACACCGCCCGUCGCUACUACCGAUUGAAUGGCUUAGUGAGGCUUUCGGAUUGGCUCAGGGAGGUCGGCAACGACAACCCAGAGCCGGAAAGUUGUUCAAACUUGGUCAUUUAGAGGAAGUAAAAGUCGUAACAAGG